rnacentral:rRNA from 1 species
CAGUCGCCACGGUAAUACGUAGGUGGCAAGCGUUGUCCGGAAUUAUUGGGCGUAAAGGGCUCGCAGGCGGUUUCUUAAGUCUGAUGUGAAAGCCCCCGGCCCAACCGGGGAGGGUCAUUGGAAACUGGGAAACUUGAGUGCAGAAGAGGAGAGUGGAAUUCCACGUGUAGCGGUGAAAUGCGUAGAGAUGUGGAGGAACACCAGUGGCGAAGGCGACUCUCUGGUCUGUAACUGACGCUGAGGAGCGAAAGCGUGGGGAGCGGACAGGAUUAGAGACCCCGGUAGUCCCUGUCUCUUAUAC